ACAAACUUGGUCAUUUAGAGGAAGUAAAAGUCGUAACAAGGUCUCCGUAGGUGAACCUGCGGAGGGAUCAUUACCGAGUGAGGGCGCCCCGCGCCCGACCUCCAACCCUUUGUCGUCAAAACCUCUGUUGCCUCGGGGGCGACCCGGCCGUUCGGCGCCCGGGACCCCCGGUGGACCACCCAACUCUUGCAUCUUUGCGUCGGAGUGAUACAUGAGAAUGAAUCAAAACUUUCAACAACGGAUCUCUUGGUUCUGGCAUCGAUGAAGAACGCAGC
rnacentral:misc_RNA from 1 species